AGGGAGCCUAUGGGAGCUCAGUGAAAGAGAGCCAAUGGGAGGCCCCAGGAGGAGUCAGAAAGAAGGCGAGAAAGAGUUCAGGGUAUUUUUUCCCUUGGCUGCUCCCUGGCUUGGUUAGAGCCCGUGUGAAGCGGCUGCUCCUCCCAAUUCCAGUAGCACUGCCCCUCCCCUUGUCCUCCAGAGCAGUUGAUGCUCGUGACUCCAACCAUUGCUAGCCCCUGGAGCUGCAGUAGCCCUGGUUAGUUCCAUUGCCUCUGCCUAAAGUACUUCACCUAAAUCGGACUUCAGCUCUGAAGAUGCCAUCUGUUUCUUGCCAGGACGUUAAUACUGUAGAUAUAAGUUUUUCAGGCCCUGCUUUCUCGGCCCUGCUCUGGAGUAACUGGGAAGAUCUUCAGUGAUCAACAGCCCAGAGAAUCCACUGCAGCAGCACAGAGCAUGAGGUCCCCUCAGCCCCACAGCCAGCCCAGGUGUCUGGGGGAGGAUGCUGGGCUGCUCACGUAUGGAGAGGAUCUAAACUCUGGACAGCUCCCUCAAGGUCAGGAAAGACAGUCUGCGCUUCCCCUCCCACGAAGCCCAUGGAGCCAGCCCCAUCCUGUAGAGGUGCUGAGUGUGUGCCCUGGGAGGGAGCUGGUGGUCUAGCUGAGCCGACUGUGUCUUGGGGUGAACACUGCACCAAAGUGCUGAGCAGGCUGCCAGCCUGGGAGCAGGGUCUGAAACUGUGCUAAACUAAGCAGAUUUUAUAAUGUAUCUUCUUACGAGCAGUACUCAGAGACUCCAGGGAACAGGUAUUUACUCUGCAGUCUGAAUGGAAUUUUCCAAAGGGGACCAAAAUCUAGAGGCACCAAGAUUACUGUUAUUGCUACGGCUUGUUAAUCUGUCCAUCUGCCCCUGGGCUGUGAGCAACUGAAGGGCCUGAAGGCUCUGUCUGAGCCCCUGUCAGAUUUUGGCAUAAUGGCCUGGCUCAGUCAGCACUGGCUGAAUGAGGGAAUGAAUGAGACCACAGGACACCCUAUGCAUCUGCCUGAGGUGGGUGUCACUUAACACCUGGUGCCCAGCAUUUCAAGGGGGAGGCUUGAGGAGCAUCUGUGCUUUCUCUGUGCUCCAGUUAUCAGAGAAGAGCAAGGGUUCUUAGGCAGAACUGCCAGAAUGCUCCAGAAGGGAAGAGAAAAAUUAGAGAAGGCUGCACAUCCAUGAUAGACGGGAAAGGCCGGAGCAACAGUGGGGACUCAUUUACUGAGUGCCUGUCAUAUGUGGAGCCCUCAAACGUAUAUCACUCCUUGCGGGCAUGGGUGUAAACCCAAAAGGUACAAUUAUGACCAGUUUAUGGGUAAAUAAAAUGAGAUUCAGAGCUGUUGAGUCAACUGCCCAAGGUCACACAGCUAGGAUGUAGGGAGCCUGGGAUUUAACUUCAAAGUCUAUCUCUUUCUACAAUAGCCUAUGCUGGAAACUAGGAGCCGGCAACUUUUUUUUUUUUUUUUUUUUUUUUUUUUGGUAAAGGGUCAGAUAGUAAAUACUUUAGGCCUUGCAGGACUUACAUGUUUUUUCCCAACAACGUUGCAAAUGCAGCCAUACACAAUGUGCAAAUGAAUGGGUGUGGCUAUGUUCCAAUAAAACUUUAUUUAUGAAAACAAGGGGCUGCAUUUGGUCCAUAGGCCACAGUUUGC
rnacentral:lncRNA from 1 species